GAUGAACGCUGGCGGCGUGCCUAAUACAUGCAAGUCGAGCGAACAGAUGAGGAGCUUGCUCCUCUGACGUUAGCGGCGGACGGGUGAGUAACACGUGGAUAACCUACCUAUAAGACUGGGAUAACUUCGGGAAACCGGAGCUAAUACCGGAUAAUAUAUUGAACCGCAUGGUUCAAUAGUGAAAGACGGUUUUGCUGUCACUUAUAGAUGGAUCCGCGCCGCAUUAGCUAGUUGGUAAGGUAACGGCUUACCAAGGCAACGAUGCGUAGCCGACCUGAGAGGGUGAUCGGCCACACUGGAACUGAGACACGGUCCAGACUCCUACGGGAGGCAGCAGUAGGGAAUCUUCCGCAGUGGGCGAAAGCCUGACGGAGCAACGCCGCGUGAGUGAUGAAGGUCUUCGGAUCGUAAAACUCUGUUAUUAGGGAAGAACAAAUGUGUAAGUAACUAUGCACGUCUUGACGGUACCUAAUCAGAAAGCCACGGCUAACUACGU
rnacentral:rRNA from 1 species